AAAGUUGGUACAAGGAGCCGCAUAUUAACUUCUGAAGAGCCGCAUGCGGCUCUGGAGCCACAGGUUGGCCACCCCUGACCUAACUCAUGGAGGCGGAUGGGCCUUUGUUGUUAUUUAAUGCAGUCAUUUAGACUCUACUGGCUUGAUUUUUGCUUUAGAAUCCCUAUUAAAGCAAUUUAGGGCCCUCUAAUAACACCCCACACUGGUGUAAUGUUGCUCCCAUCUUGGCACAGGUUCUGUAUGAAGUCACUAUUCAGAUGUGUUGUAAGUGGCUGAAACUUCAUGGGUUGGGCUGCUGAGAGAGCAUACCACGUAAAAUAAUUCCUACCUGAUUUCACCUCUCCCGACUGACUGAUACCCUUAGUGCACAUGUGAAGAGUCAGUAGAGUUGCAUCCAAUUUUUCUAGGUCUGAAUUUGGCCCAACAUCCCUGCAGUGCAGGAACAUAACCGUUGUUAAUAUUUUAUCAGGAUUCUUUUCCAAACCCCUUUUAUAAAUUAUGUUGGCAAGAAAGCAAAGGAGCAGGAAAACAUACAUGAAGAGCCCAAAACUUGCGCAUGGGGAGAGUGAUGCCUUUGUGACAUGGUCCUCCAUGACCCCAUUCAAGACCAGUGGGCUUAAGACUCAUUCUGCAGCCCUUCAAACAUUUGAUAGUGAAAGGGAACUUGUCAUUACUACACACCUGAGUUGUCAGUGCCAAGUUGGGGAGAAGGGACCCUCAGUAAAAGAGGUUAUGCUGAAUAUUGCUUGAGCUACAGAAGAGUAUAAAUGUGCUGCAGAUGUACUACUUGAGGAAGUUUUCCUGAAAGAGCAAUUACAUUAAAUAGAGAUAAGAUGUUCUCAAAGUAUGUGUGUUUGGAGUUUCCGGAUACUACAGUGGUUUCGCUAGAGGAAUUCAAAGAAAGAUGCAGAAAAAGAAGGGCAGAUUUUCAAAAACGGAGACCAGCUGGAGACUAUCAAGUCUGUGAGAUUGGAGAGGGUAAGGAUCUGAUAGGAACAGCUAUUAUUCCUUUUGAGAAUGGAAACAAGUUCCUGCAGGUCUGCCCUAACAGUGAGCAUAGGAUAUACUGGAACAUGCUCCCCAGACUUCUCUUGCUGCUGGUAACCUGCCCAGAUUGAUGUAGGGUACAGGUGCUUGGGUUUGGCCUCCCCUGCACCAGACCCUUCCUCUCCUCAUCCCUCUACUUUGCAUCUUGCUAUCUCUUCUGAUCCAGAAAAGGAGGCACUGGAAGAAAAAAAAAGGAAUUAGAUCCAGAGGGCUAAGUGCUGGCUUGCAUGCUUCCAGGAGAGGAGGCAAAGAAUACUGGAAUAGGAAAGAAUAUUCCCUCUAGUUUUCACCUUUCUUGGCUUCCUGGAAGAUGGCAUCAUGGCACUGGCUGUUCUGCUUACUGCAGCGGGCUAGAAAAAGAGGAAAAUGCUUGACAAUCAAAUUUUAUAUUUUAGCCACUAACCAUCUAACUCCUUUCCCUCACCCCCUUUUUAUAAUGAUUGCCUGAUAGAAACAUUUUUUUUAAUUUUCAUAUCCUAAAAUAUACUUACAUGAGUGCUCCUCAAAUGCAAGGUUUAAGAAAACACAGCAUUAUCCAUUCCUCCCAGCAGCAACAGGUAGCAGGCCCAGUGUCCAGAAUAUCAGCCAGCCAGGAAAGAUUUUUAAAGGGGCCUGAUGUUGCACAUUUGAUUUUUAUUUUGUAUUUAAGUAGUCAAAUAUGGGGUUGCCUUUGCAGCAGCCUGAUGACAAGGGGCAGAUUAGUCCUUCCGGAUGGAAAAUGUGGGAUUAUGACUCACUUCAAAGCCAGUCAAUGCCACUCUUGGAUUUAGGAGAGUGGGUUACUUGAGAAUGAUUAAAUGUAUUCUCCUCCUUCAUAAGGAGUUAACAUUCUUGUAACAUUGUACAUAAAUAGCGGAUCAUUAUACUUUUAUAUAUUUUGAAAACAUGAGGAGUGUGAACUUUGGAAAAUUACACAUCAGGUAUUUUAGCUGAGCAGCAGGAAAUGUACAUAUGAUCCACUACUGAAUGCAUCGCCUCCGCUCCUCAGGUUAGCAGCUGUUAAGAAUAUUCAGGAUAUGUAGUAAACGUCAACAAUGCCUACUGCUGAUUCACUUAUAAGAUGUUCUUUUAUUAAUGUGAUAACCUUUUCAAGAACUACAUGGGGGAUACAUAGAUAGAAACAUCCACAAUUCAUAGACAUUGAGAUCAUCUAAAAAGGUUGAUGCGUCAUACAUCCUACAAUGGAGCACCCAUAGGGACAAAAUCACCUUGAAAAUCUCAAGUCACUUGUAAGGUAAAUAAUCUCUCCUUUAUGAAUAUUUGCAGUGGAUAGAGAGAGAGCUUGAAGCAUUACAGAGUAAGGUAACAAGUCAUUCUCAUAAUAUAAAUACAUUCUCAUUAAUUUAUUUCAAUUGGUUACCAACAUUAUGGUCUCUUUUUCAUCAGCAAAUAAAUCUUAAUUACUCAUCACUUAGUUAAUGCGCAGCCUUUUAACUUAACUGUAUUAUAUAUAUAUAUUUCUUGGUUCAAUGGCAUAUUCAGCUCCAGAAUUUUCCUUCCUACUGUAAUUAAAGUAUAGUUACUUUCUAUUUUUCUUGUAAAGAUGAACAAAGAUCGAGUUUAUCAUGUUCUUGAUGCUAAAAUACAUGAAAGUUCAUACAAUUAUUUCAUUUGAAAUGGGCAGUAAUUUUGAUUCAGAAAGGAUGACCUUCUCAUGAUCAUCACUGUGAUCUGAUUUGGACUGAGUAAUUACUGAAAGUUUCCUGCUUCUCUAGAUCUUUCCCAGCCUGCUCAUCUGAGGAGUUCUAACUUUCCACCAUACAUGUGUGUUUGAAUUUGUGUUGUGAAAAUGUAAAAUUCUUAUUUAGGUGACAAGAAUUGGAGGAGAGCCACUUGUUCAUGUACCUUAUCCCCUAGCCAUCUUGCUAUAUAAAACUUACUUAGCUAUUUGCUUUCAGAUCACCAGUCCUCUCACAAGGCUGACUAAGAGCAUUCCUGAGCCACAGAAUUUAUUUUAUUUUCUGCUGUGCCCUCUAAUGUGCAAGCAAGGAGGGAUAGACCAGUUCAGAUAAUAUUAGAAUUGCCCCAAAACUUGAAGCAAACUUGUUCCUAAGAUGCUUUCCAUGUUCAAUCCAUUUCUUAUACACAAGGAACUUAUCCUGCAGGAUCCAGUGUGCCAUUUUAACUCAUGACUUCUACACUCCUUACAUGCACAAAAAGAAAGAAGAAUGACUGGAUAAGCAUAGGUCCUUGGUACAGAUAUUCCAUGUAUAUUUAAAGGCCUUUGACUUUACUAAUGCCUUUAGAGAAAACUGAAGUUCCAAAAGAGACUACCAAGGGGAAAAGAAUGCCUCAAAUAGGAACAUUGGUGUAAUUUGGGAAUUCUUUGUGGAUGACAUUAAUAAACACAUUAGUACUUCUUUCCUUUUAGGGUCCAAGCCCUCUCCCUUGAAACGUCAUUCCCUUUACAGCAAAUUAUCAACUAGCAAAUCAUCUUUUCAAAAAUGUGCAUAAUGUAUAUCCUACGUAGAAUUCUCCUUGAGGAAAUUGCAUAUGGAUGAGAAGAUAUCUCUUUGGACACUGCUUAACAUUGCCAUCAUGAAUCUCCCGGAAGUCAGGGAUAAGUGUAUAGUCUACAUGGCUCUAACUGAAGUCUUUGCGGAGCUCCUGCAUGUAUUUGUGGGCAGAAUUUGGCCUGUAGUCUCUUAAAUAUUGCUCUCCUUGUGGUGUGGUGGUAGGUAUACAUCAAAUGCUUCUUCCCUUCUCAUUUGGGGAGAUAACACCUGCUGAAGUUUUUCCAUAAGGAGUGCAUUGAUGCCACAUUGAAAUGAAGUUAUUUUAAUUUCUCCUUAUGCAGUUAAUGGUAGAACUGAUCGGAGUGGCUUCCAUGGAACCAUACUUCAUUGGAAUGGAAACGCUUCAAAAUUGGAGUAUAUUAUGGUAGAAUUUCACUUCAGAAAAAAAUUGAGAGAAGUACCAACAGUGUCAAAAAAAAACAUUUUCAAAAGACUUUGUUUCACAUUUUUUUGUGUGUAUGAUAAUACAAAAUUUAAAAAGUAGAAAUCAAAACAAACCAUUUCACCUCUGUCAAAACAAAAUGUUUUGACCCAGAACAAAAAUUAUUUUCUGAAUUUUCCUUCAUGGAGAUUUUUGGAAUAUCAGAUUUUGUUCCAGUCAGGGAAACAGAGCAAAUUUUUGAAAUCUUGAAAUCCUUCAUGAAAUGGAACAUCCAUCUGCCUCAGACUUCUAAUGAAUAGAUCCAAAAUAUCUUGCCUCUUUCUUCCAAAACAAAACAAAAACAACAAUAAGCUGAGACCAACGAGUGGUCUAAUUAGGUUGAAAUUAGGUUCCUGGCAAAUCUAACAGUUUUUAGUGGUGGUGGUGGUGGUGUUUGUUUUAAUGAUUUCUGGUACUCCAUAAGAUGGCAUUUUGUUGCCUGGGUAUUGCUGCCUUGGUGGAGGGGUUGCUGAUUAAUUUCAACUUCGGGUAGCAGAAUAAGUCAUGCUUUCCUCCCCAGCUGCUGCUAUUCAUGUUCGCAGCACUUACCUCCUCCCCCAAAACAGGCACAUAAAUCCCACUUGUCACAUUAUGACAGAUAAACAUUAGGAUGAAGCCCAUGAUAUCUGACAAAAUACUUGCAGACUAAAUGACUCUAGUUCUUCUUCUUUGUAAGCUUCCAACAAGGUGAAAAAGAUCCUAUAGGAAAUCUGUAGAAUAUCCUGUGCAUCAAUUUAUGAAUUUUUCUUCAGGGUUUUUUUUUUUUUAAAUAAACACCUUUUCUAUCAUU